rnacentral:misc_RNA from 1 species
UUACAUGCAACUUAGUUUUGGGUCAAUUAUCGCUAAUUAACUAGUGCUACAUAGGCUUGAGCUUCGGAGGGAGAUAGAGUUUGUUUUCUUUCUUCAAUCAGGAAAGAUCAAUGUUAUAAGAGAUGGCUAGUAGAAGAAGAACUGAGACCUGAUAAGUCCGUCCAUGUAUUUCCACUCCAGUAUUGAUUACUCUCCGAAAUAACCAGAAAUGGUUUCGAUAAAUUCAAUCCUUGGUUAUCUUCCAUCUUCACUGAAGCCAACUGAGAAACCC